UUCAAAUGUCAAAUUGGAACGAAAAUUCUAAAAACAAACAAACAAAAUAAAAUUUAUCGAUGAUCAGUUCACAACAAGACAACAGUCAACUGAGCCAGAUCAGCUUUCCACAGAUUUAUAUCAAAAUUUGAUAAAAUAAUGACGCCAAAGAGAAGGGAACGCCACCAUAAAAACAAUGAGCGACAUGGCGGUUUUUUCAUUUCAACUUCCGAAGCGGAGCUAAUUCAUGCAACCCCUAAUCCACACUAUACGUUUCAAGCGGAAGUCCCGAGGGAAGGCCUGUAUCAAUUUAAUAAGACCAGUUACGUGGAGAACCAUCGUUCUUGAUUUCAUCUGAAAUAAUAAGCAUGCCAAUUAAAUGAGCCUACGAAGGAAUGAAUACGAUCCAUUCUGCUUGUUCGGAUGAUCUGAAUGAACUUGCGGCAGCAUGAAUCGUCUCGAGUUUAUGUGGCCCAUAAUUGUUUGUUAUUACGGUUAUUACUCAAACAUUCAAAACUCGAGUAUAAAGAAUACUAUCAUUUCAGUUUAAUUAGUCUGCUAUAAUGAAAUAUAAAGAAAAACUA